rnacentral:lncRNA from 1 species
AAAGAAACAAGAUCCUUGGUUCAUAGAUUCCCCACCAGAUUCAUGGAAAGAAAAACAAAUAAAAUGUCAAGGUAAUAGAACCGACAACAAGAGUGCAAGAGUUCAUGUCCAAUGACUUAGAUCUUCGUGAAAACAUGUUAAACCAGCAGGGAGAAGAGUCAUGGUUAUCUGAGAGUACUUAUGUGGUCGAUUGAAUUUGAAAUAUGCCCAGAAAGGAGUGCGGAUUCCAAGAACAAAGCCAAAAGCUUCGUUUGUAGAAAAUUGCAGCAAUGAUGAACCCAAUAGUUUGGGUCCUGAUUUGGGGAGCGCAGAGAGGUUGUUUUGGGGAGAUUCCUGAAUGAAAAUUCUUGUAUUUCAUGCCAAGAUAGUACAGAAAUCAAGGGUUUACUCCAAAGGCUAAGAACUGGGCCGGAAUUUGGUACGAAACUAUGAUGGUUCAUCAACCUGGUGACGAACUUUUGCAGCAAAAUUUUCUUCCUUUUCUGUUUUCUCUCCCUCUCUUUUCCUUGCCGUUGUUUCUCUUUGUUCUUCCUCUUGCUUUUCCUCUCUCAGCUAGCCCAAAAUAUCCCCAGAUUCCCCCUUCCUUGGUUUCUUUCCUUUCUCUUUCUUUUUCUUUCCUUUCUUUCUCUUUUGUCGAAGCUUUCUUCUUCUUCUCCUUUCUCUGGCUCUUCCCAGUUUCUCUCCUUUUCUUUCUUGCUUAGUCUUUCAACCACCACCGUCUCCCAAUCUCCUUUCUCCCUCUCUCGGUUUCCUUCCCUUCCUUUUCCUUGUCCCGUAGCUCUUCCCUCUCUCAGUCCCCUCAAGCUCUCUUCCUGGUUUUUUCUACUCCCCCGCAGCCCAGUAGCUAUUCUCUUUUUCCUCAGCCCAUGGCUUUUUCUUGCUUUUUCUUUUUUUUUUCUCCUCACUCAGCCCGCCACCUUCCCUUUCUUG